rnacentral:rRNA from 1 species
GACGAACGCUGGCGGCAUGCCUAAUACAUGCAAGUCGAGCGAACAGAUGAAGUGCUUGCACUUCUGACGUUAGCAGCGAACGGGUGAGUAACACGUAAGGAAUCUACCUAUAAGCGGGGGAUAACAUUCGGAAACGGGUGCUAAUACCGCAUAAUAUCUUCUUCCGCAUGGAAGAAGAUUGAAAGACGGCUCUGCUGUCACUUAUAGAUGACCUUGCGGUGCAUUAGUUAGUUGGUGGGGUAAUGGCCUACCAAGACGAUGAUGCAUAGCCGACCUGAGAGGGUGAUCGGCCACAGUGGGACUGAGACACGGCCCAAACUCCUACGGGAGGCAGCAGUAGGGAAUCUUCCGCAAUGGGCGAAAGCCUGACGGAGCAAUGCCGCGUGAGUGAAGAAGGCCUUCGGGUCGUAAAACUCUGUUAUAAGAGAAGAACAAAUUGUAGAGUAACUGCUACAGUCUUGACGGUAUCUUAUCAGAAAGCCACGGCUAACUACGUGCCAGCAGCCGCGGUAA